rnacentral:rRNA from 1 species
UACGGAGGGGGCUAGCGUUGUUCGGAAUUACUGGGCGUAAAGCGCACGUAGGCGGCUUUGUAAGUUAGAGGUGAAAGCCCGGGGCUCAACUCCGGAAUUGCCUUUAAGACUGCAUCGCUCGAAUUGUGGAGAGGUAAGUGGAAUUCCGAGUGUAGAGGUGAAAUUCGUAGAUAUUCGGAAGAACACCAGUGGCGAAGGCGACUUACUGGACACAUAUUGACGCUGAGGUGCGAAAGCGUGGUGAGCAAACAGG